GUGGGGAAUAUUCCGCAAUGGACGAAAGUCUGACGGAGCAACGCCGCGUGAGUGAUGAAGGUUUUCGGACUGUAAAGCUCUGUUGUUUAGGACGAAAGUGCCUGUUGCAAAUAGUUACAGGUAUUGACGGUACUGAACGAGGAAGCCACGGCUAACUACGUGCCAGCAGCCGCGGUAAUACGUAGGUGGCAAGCGUUGUCCGGAAUUAUUGGGCGUAAAGAGCAUGUAGGCGGGAAUCUAAGGAUGUUGUGAAAAUGCGGGGCUCAACCCCGUAUUGCGAUGGAAACUGGGUUUCUUGAGUGCAGGAGAGGAAAGGGGAAUUCCCAGUGUAGCGGUGAAAUGCGUAGAUAUUGGGAGGAACACCAGUGGCGAAGGCGCCUUUCUGGACUGUGUCUGACGCUGAGAUGCGAAAGCCAGGGUAGCGAACGGGAUUAGAAACCCCUGUAGUCC
rnacentral:rRNA from 1 species